GCGGUGUGCUUAUCCAUGCAUGUCGAACGCUGAAGCCUGGCUUUUGUUGGGUGGAUGAGUGGCGAACGGGUGAGUAACACAUGAGUAACCUGCCCUCUUCUCUGGGAUAAGCUUGGGAAACUGGGUCUAAUACUGGAUAUGACUGCUUGCCGCAUGGUGGGUGGUGGAAAGUUUUUUCGGUGGGGGAUGGGCUCGCGGCCUAUCAGUUUGUUGGUGGGGUGAUGGCCUACCAAGGCGACGACGGGUAGCCGGCCUGAGAGGGUGACCGGCCACACUGGGACUGAGACACGGCCCAGACUCCUACGGGAGGCAGCAGUGGGGAAUAUUGCACAAUGGGGGGAACCCUGAUGCAGCGACGCCGCGUGGGGGAUGACGGCCUUCGGGUUGUAAACCUCUUUUGGUGGGGAAGAAGCCUUUUGGGGUGACGGUACCUGCGGAAGAAGUACCGGCUAACUACGUGCCAGCAGCCGCGGUAAUACGUAGGGUACGAGCGUUGUCCGGAAUUAUUGGGCGUAAAGAGCUCGUAGGUGGUUUGUCGCGUCUGCUGUGGAAACGCAUCGCUUAACGGUGCGCGUGCAGUGGGUACGGGCGUAACUAGAGUGCAGUAGGGGAGUUUGGAAUUCCUGGUGUAGCGGUGAAAUGCGCAGAUAUCAGGAGGAACACCGGUGGCGAAGGCGGGACUCUGGGCUGUUACUGACGCUGAGGAGCGAAAGCAUGGGGAGCGAACAGGAUUAGAUACCCUGGUAGUCCAUGCCGUAAACGUUGGGCACUAGGUGGGGGGUCCUUUCCACGGAUUCUGUGCCGGAGCUAACGCAUUAAGUGCCCCGCCUGGGGAGUACGGCCGCAAGGCUAAAACUCAAAGGAAUUGACGGGGGCCCGCACAAGCGGCGGAGCAUGCGGAUUAAUUCGAUGCAACGCGAAGAACCUUACCAAGGCUUGACAUGCACUGGGAGUGGCUAGAGAUGGUCGCGUCUUUUUGACUGGUGUACAGGUGGUGCAUGGUUGUCGUCAGCUCGUGUCGUGAGAUGUUGGGUUAAGUCCCGCAACGAGCGCAACCCUUGUUCUAUGUUGCCAGCACGUGGUGGUGGGAACUCAUGGGAGACUGCCGGGGUCAACUCGGAGGAAGGUGGGGAUGACGUCAAAUCAUCAUGCCCUUGAUGUCUUGGGCUUCACGCAUGCUACAAUGGCUGGUACAAAGGGUUGCGAUACUGUGAGGUGGAGCGAAUCUCUGAAAGCCGGUCUCAGUUCGGAUCGUAGUCUGCAACUCGACUACGUGAAGUCGGAGUCGCUAGUAAUCGCAGAUCAGCAAUGCUGCGGUGAAUACGUUCCCGGGCCUUGUACACACCGCCCGUCAAGUCACGAAAGUCGGUAACACCCGAAACCGGUGGCCUAACCUGUUGGGGGGAGCUGUCGAAGGUGGGACUGGUGAUGGACUAAGUCG
rnacentral:rRNA from 1 species